rnacentral:ncRNA from 1 species
CGCUCUGGAGAAUCCCGAUAAUGGGGGCCGAAGGUGUAAGGCGGGUAUCCGCCGAUCUCUCAGGCAAAAGGACAGAGCA